GUAGGAGUGGAUCCCUUGAUGGCCCAAGAAUCCCAUAUGUUAGCUUCUAACACCAUGGAGACCCAUAUGUUAGCAUCCAACACCAUGGACUCCCAAAUGCUAGCAUCCAACACUAUGGAUUCUCAGAUGCUAGCGUCCAAUACCAUGGAUUCCCAGAUGUUAGCCUCUAGUACCAUGGAUUCCCAGAUAUUAGCCUCUAGCACCAUGGAUUCCCAGAUGUUAGCAACUAGCUCCAUGGAUUCCCAGAUGUUAGCAUCUAGCUCCAUGGAUUCCCAGAUGUUAGCAACCAGCUCCAUGGACUCCCAGAUGUUAGCAACCAGCUCCAUGGACUCGCAGAUGUUAGCAACCAGCUCCAUGGACUCGCAGAUGUUAGCAACCAGCAGUAUGGACUCGCAGAUGUUAGCAACCAGCUCCAUGGACUCGCAGAUGUUAGCAACCAGUUCCAUGGAUUCCCAGAUGUUAGCAACCAGUUCCAUGGAUUCCCAGAUGUUAGC
rnacentral:lncRNA from 1 species